GACAGAGGAUGCAAGCGUUAUCCGGAAUGAUUGGGCGUAAAGCGUCUGUAGGUGGCUUUUUAAGUCCGCCGUCAAAUCCCAGGGCUCAACCCUGGACAGGCGGUGGAAACUACCAAGCUGGAGUACGGUAGGGGCAGAGGGAAUUCCACGUGUAGGCGGUGAAAUGCGUAGAGAUGUGGAGGAACACCAGUGGCGAAGGCGACUCUUUGGCCUGUAACUGACACUGAGGCACGAAAGCGUGGGGAGCAAACAGGG
rnacentral:rRNA from 1 species